GACGAACCGUGCGAACGUUGUUCGGAAUCACUGGGCUUAAAGGGCGCGUAGGCGGGCCAGCCAGUCCGGGGUGAAAUCUUUCGGCUCAACCGGAAAAGGGCCUCGGAGACGACUGGUCUAGAGGGAGAUAGGGGUCUGCGGAACUUCCGGUGGAGCGGUGAAAUGCGUUGAUAUCGGAAGGAACGCCGGUGGCGAAAGCGGCGGACUGGAUCUCUUCUGACGCUGAGGCGCGAAAGCUAGGGGAGCGAACGGGAUUAGAAACCCGUGU
rnacentral:rRNA from 1 species